UUCCGAGCUUUUGGCAGGAGUCAAGGCGUACACCAGUUUCAUCCAGUCAUUGGCACAGUUCUUGGGCACAGAUGCUUCCAGAAUUGUUCGCAAUGCCCUCCUGCAGCAGACGCAGCCGCUGGACUCAUGUGGCGAGCAGACAGUCACCACUCUCUACACAAACUGGUACCUAGAAAGUCUACUCAGACAGGCUGGGGCCAUGGAGGACAAUGUAUAGAUAAAGGGGUGUGGAACUACAUGUAUGAAUUUUUAACCAUGAAAAAAAAAAAAACAGUGACCUAU
rnacentral:lncRNA from 1 species